GUGGGGAAUAUUGGGCAAUGGGGACCGCAAGCCUGACCCAGCAACGCCGCGUGAAGGAAGAAGGCUUCGGGUUGUAAACUUCUUUUCUCAGGGACGAAGCAAGUGACGGUACCUGAGGAAUAAGCCACGGCUAACUACGUGCC
rnacentral:rRNA from 1 species